AGCCAUUAAAUGGAAAUUUGGGUUCUAAAUUGGCUUUUGGAAGUGAUUAUUCUGUAAUCCUGUAAACCUUGGCCACUACAUGACUCCUGUCCUGCACUUUACCUGCUCCUUUGAUUUUGUUAUGGUCUUUACUUUUAUUAGUUCUACCUGAUAGCUAUACAGGAGGUUGAAGUGGUGUAAUCCUGGCCUAGGUUCCUUGUUAUUAGUCACACUUCACUUCUGGCUUAUGCCUAUUUUUACCACGUGAGUCCUACCCUGGCCCAUAUUGCCAUCUUGUUCAAUUUAUAUUUUAAACCCAUUGGCUAUAGAAUCACCCAAGGGAGCGAUUGCAUUUGCUUUUAUUAAGGUAUUAUAUUGUUUUAAAAUGUUGGAAUUUUAAAUAUGUUUUGUUAAUUGCUUUUAUAUUGGUUUCAUGUAUUUUGUAUGAUGUAUAUGUAUUGAAUGUUGUAUUAUGUGUAAACUGCUCUGAGUCCCCACGGGAGAUAGAACGGUAUAUAAAUAAAGUUUGUUGUUGUUGUUGUUGGUUUCAAGCAGACAGCUUGAACCACAUUCCUUGGGAGAGUCAAUGUCAAACGAUCCCUUGGCAGAUGGGCAUUUCAGUUGUGAUAAGACUAAUGAGGUUGACAGAAAGAAAGCUAUAUGUCAACAGAGACAAGAAAGGGAGGUUUUGAGAUGGAGCAGAUGGUUGCUAAUGAGAAAAGGUUUUGAGCAAACUUCCCAUGAAAAGAGGCCUUGAUUUCAGCUUUAAGAGGAACUGCCUCUGAGAGAGAUUUUCAGAGGUGGUAACUUUGCUGAUUGAGAGUGUUGUUCCUGUUCAUGGACUAAUGUUUCAUGCUUCAUAGAAUCCUGUUUCAUGUUCCUGUGGACUUUCAUGCCAUGUUCAUGUAGGCUUGUAUCUUGAGCUUUGUUCCAGUCCUUGUUCUUGCUCUUGGGGAAUUUUGGAUUAUUCAGUCAUUGUUCCUGAAAGUUUGCAGUUUGGAUCCCUUGUUCCAGUCAAAGAUUCUGUUCUUUGUUCCAGUUUUGUUCCUGUUCCUUGGACUAUUUUGAUACCUUGUUGAAGUUUAUUCUUGUGUUUGAUUUUCAUGGACCCUUGAUUCAAGACUCUAAAGUAUUUUGUACCUGGUGAACUAAAACCUUGUUUCAUUGACUUUGAACUUUGAUUUGCUAUUGCUUACAUAUAUUCUUCAAUAAACAACUUGCUUUGCUUAUAGUCUGGGGCUCCAGCAUGGUCUUGAGAUGUCUCUGCAGUCUAGGGAUGCAACAGAGGGGGCAUUUACACAUGCUAGAAAUGAUUAUGCUGAUCCAUAGUGGGGUUAUCUGCAUCAUCAUGAUCAUCAUCAUCAUCAUCAUCUACAUAGCCAACUGCUGAGUUUUCUUGGGGGUGGCAGGUAUCUGAACAACUGUGUCAGAUGCAGAUCUGCCCAAUUCUCUGCCCAGAUGGACACCAUGUUAUCAUCGUUUUCCUGUGCUGAUCUGCACAGGUGAAAAACAUGACUUGUCCCUUUAUGGCCACUGACACUCCCUCUUGGCUUCAGUGAGCGACACUGCUGUGGUCACAUUUGUGAUGUCAGAUCUACUCACCAUUAUGACAUCAGAGAUGCAACAGUUGAUAGUCCAGUACUUAGAACAUUAUGGCUGGCAAGGAGAGGGAGCAGCAAUGUGGGCAAAAAAAAUAAAAUAACAGUAUGGCAGUAAUGUAGUAUUGGCCCACCUGGAUGUCAACACGGCAUGCAGCAGAUACACCCAGGUAUAUCUGGCUACCAUCACGGUUGCUGAGGAGCCAGCACAGAACAUUAAGUGGCCAGUACAGAUUCACCACCAAAACAGCUAAAACAUUCUUAAUAAAUGACCAUCUAACCUCUGGUUAAGGAGUUCCUUUGAAGGAAACUCCACUACCCUCCAAGUCAUCAAUAAAGAUGUUGUACAAUAUCAGGCCUAGCACAGAACCCCAUUGCACAUCAAUCAUUACGUAUCUCCAGGAUGAAGACAAAAAUUGAUGAGCAAUCUUUGGGACUGAUCCAUCAACAAGUUCAAAAUGCUCAUAACUAACAUAAUCAAGAUCAAAUUUUGCCAGCUUGUCUUCAAAGUAAUUAUGGUAACUUGUUAAACAUCUUACUCAAGUCAAGAUAUACUACAUCCACCAGCAUUCUUUAAUUUACUGUGAGAUAGAGACUGGAGCAAUGUUGGCAGAAGACUCAAAGAGAAUCUGACUGAACACAGGCUAGAGCUUAUUUGAAAAUCUUCUCUGCAGCAAGGAGGGCAGCAAAGCACCAUUGCUUCUGCUAACAUGAUGAUGAUGAAGAAAAAUUCCAAAGGACCAUUCUGCAGAAGAUGGAGUAGAAGAGGUGUCUGAUCUAUGGAAACAAAUGCAUUGUGGAUUAUAUUGGUCCAUACAUCAGUAAUAGGAACUUUUAGUCAGUACUAACAUAUUUAAAUACCUAAAGAUUUAAAACCAGGCUUUAAAGAGUAAAAUACCCAGAGCCUUACAUCUGGGUAGACAAAUAUUUCAGCUUUAUUUUCUAUUAUAUGUUAUUUUUAAUUUAAAAAUCUUAAGUUAUUUUCAUUUAAAAUAUGAAAAAAAUACGUGCAUUUUGGCAAGUCUUCUUAAAAUAUCUGAAAUUCAUGACUAUCUCUCUUAGUUUCCUUGUUAAUAAAGACAAUUUUCCAAAUAUUUUUCAAACCAACUCUGUGGAUUUUUGAAGUUAUAUCAUGUAUGCCCCCUGUAGAUGAAUAUUUGGCUUGGAUUGUUCUGCAGGAAGAUACUAAAAUUACCAAUGUUUUGCAAAAUGUAUCUCUUAAGUAAUCAUUUGCUUCAUUUCCUAAUUAAUGAAUAAUCAGGAGACGCAUUCAGUCUAGCUGAAUAUUGGUGACCUGUGAAACCUAUUUCAUUUUUGGUAGCUAGAUGGAUGUUAUCAAUCAGUUUUUUCCACCUGGUGUAGUGAUUACACAGAUAAAUGUCUUUAUGAAUGUGGUGUGUGCCUUGAAUAAGGAAUAGGAUACCUACCCUGAAUAGCAAUAUCAAGUUUUGCUGGUUAUUCACAGAGGAGAAUAUUGCAUGGAUUGAAAUGAAGCUCUUCAUUUCAAUUUUAGAAAUCUGUGUUGGCAUUGUGAAGAAGACAUAUCCAAUUCAUUUGAGUCAUCAGCUAUGUCCUAUUAUCUCUCUGCUUCAAGGAAACUAAUUUAUGUUGAUGCUAAGACUGAUCAGUUAAUGCCAAUGAGACAUACAACACUAUGGUUAAUAUGAUGUGCCAGAACUCUCCAGUUCCUAAGUGUCUGGAAAUUUGUUAAAAUAAUUCAACUACCUUGGAAAUGUUAUUAACAGAUAACUCUAAUUUUAGUUGAAUGAACUUCCUUUUGAUUGAGGGACACUGUAUUUACAUCUGAUUACUACUUCUUUGAUUUACUUCAAUAAAGACAUAUUUCUUUGUA